rnacentral:snoRNA from 1 species
AUCCUCUAGAUUCCUUACCCCCUCAGAUCUAAACAUUGGUCUGAGUAACUAAAAAAAGGAAGAAAAGUAAAACGGAAUUGAACUUGGAUCAUUUAGUUACAUACAAGUUCAUUUCAAACAUAU